GAGAGUCCGGACUCGCUCCCCACACCUUCCUGCGAGCCUCUUCCUGCAGCGCCGCCAUCUGGAUCACCUCCCCCGCCGUUCGCUCUGGAGACGACGUCACACAAGACGGGCGGCGGUCAUGGAUAUGGCUGCAGGCGGGGCCGGAGGUUCGGCCGCUGGGUCCAGCUGAAAGGGACUCGGCUGUGGAAGAGGACCGUCAGAGGUAGACGAUGCUGCUGCUGCUGCUGCUGCUGGUGGUGACGAUGAUGAUGAUGAUGCUGCUGCUGCUGCUGCCAUGCCAACCUUUACCCCCCGAGCUGCAAGCUACCACAGUACACAAGAUUAAACUAAAUUCACACGCACCGGUUGGGACAAGUAACGGUAGGAGAGUGCAAAGAAUGAUAAGACCUCACGUGGUCCUCCCAAGCUCUCUUUUCCCUCUCCUGGGCCUCCCUCCUCUUCUUCUCCAGCUGUUCUUUCAGAACGGCGGCGCGGGCGUUCGCCUGGGCCUUCGAGAACAACAACAACAACAACGACGGGAGCAUUUGAUCUUUUCAUGCAAGGUCAGCAAAAGGAGAGCGGAUAGCGUCUUUAGUCGCCUCAAUGAGUCAGAGCCUUUUUAAAAACACUGAGGUGUUUCAAGGUAAUUGAUUAUAGGAUGGUCGAGCAUCUGACCCUCUAAUCCCCAUUAAAACCACCAGGAGGACAAGUCCCUGAGGUAGUCUAGCUGACGGUCUUUGCAAAAAAAUCCAGGCUUAGAUUGACGGACAUCCAGGGUACAAUAUACCCCGGAUUGACACGUCAGACCCUGUGGGCUGAGGGGUGGGGGCAGAGACGUGGUGCUCAAACAGUCGGUGUUUAGCUGAUAAAAGGAACUACUAAUGACAAUAAAUUGGCCUGUUUUUGUCCCUUU